UACAGAGGGUGCGAGCGUUAAUCGGAAUUACUGGGCGUAAAGCGCACGUAGGUGGCGACGUAAGUCGGGUGUGAAAGCCCCGGGCUCAACCUGGGAAUUGCAUUCGAGACUGCAUUGCUGGAGUACGGAAGAGGAGGGCGGAAUUCCCGGUGUAGCGGUGAAAUGCGUAGAUAUCGAGAGGAACACCAGUGGCGAAGGCGAGUCUCUGGACGACACCUGACACUGAGGCACGAAAGCUAGGGGAGCAAACAGG
rnacentral:rRNA from 1 species